rnacentral:lncRNA from 1 species
CGCUGCGCCGCGCCCCUCCCUCCCUGGAGCCGGGUCCAGCCCGCUGUCCCUCGCAGGACCACGCUGGAGGGCGGUCCUCCCCAACCCCCGGUUUGGGUCCCUGAGCCCCCAGUCCUAGCUCCCCUCUUUUGUAUCACCUCUACUUCCCCCUCCCCCAUUCAACCCAACUUCAGCCCUGGCCCUGAGCCCCCCUUCCCUGGCCCGGCUGGAUUGGCCGUUUCCUGAGCUGUCAGACUCAAGUCCGGCGCUCUCAUUGGGCGAUUCACUGGCCGGGCGACCAUGCCAAAAGAGGGCGCGCCGGGCGGGGGGCGCCCGGGCAGCGACUUCGGGAGGGAACCCGAGGCAGAGUCCCUGGAGAGCCCCGAGGGGCCCCAGAGCCAGACCCAGAAAUGGACUGGGAGAUGCAGAGACUGAGGACCUCUGAGGCAAAGGAAGACCGCGAAGGGAAAGAUGGAGAUGCAGUGGCUCUCUCCUCAGACCUUCUAACAGGAGCUCCGAGGCCUGAGAGAGAUGCCUCCUCCCCCGACCCCCUCUGCUGGUCAUCUCUUUGCAGACUGGAAGAUGAAUCUUGCCAGAGCUACAGAUUGGGAGGAGAAAAAUUCCAAGAGAUCUGACUAAAGUAACCCUUGAGGAAUCGUCCAGCCUUUGAGUAACCCAUGAUUAGCUAAAUCAUAAAAAGAAACGUGAAAUCAGUCAACAAAAACUCUAGAGCGCCCUCAAUGUGCAAAGCACUGUUAGGUGCUACCACCCUGGGAGAGAGAUGACCAGACUCAGGACCAGGCACUUACUGUCAAGAAGGGAGCAGAGCUGGCCCUUCCCACCAGGUCCAGCCAAGUUCAGUGCAGUCAGAACUGCAAGAUCGUGCUAUGUUCAGAGAGAGGCAGAUUGCUUCCCACUGUGAGGGUCAGAGAGACUCUGGAGGCACAAUCCAAGUCUAGCAUGGAGAAAGAAAAGGGAAGAUGGACUCAUGUUUAUUUAGCUGCUGUGUACUGUAUGUAAAUAUUUUGUUGUCAAUGUCAAAAGAGGACAUUACAGUAAACUUAAUCUAGAGAUCUUAAUUGCCUUUUAUUUGUGUCAAUCAGGCAACACUUCAUUCUAUAAAACAGACUGUUUGGAAGAGCUGAGCAGAGGAAUUUGACAUGACAGACAGAAAAGGACUGAAGAAGUAGAAACAGAACAAAGAGCACAUAGGUUGUUUCAAAGUUACUUUCCUUGUAAAGGUUAAAACAGGGGACUUAAGAUAGCUACAACUGACCCAUUUGAUGUGUUUUCCCCCACCAUCACCAUCCCCGCUGGCCACCUCCUCCCCACCACCUGAAUCUUUGGAAGGUCAGAUAAUAACUGGGUUGUGUCUUGGAGGUCAGGAACUUUAGCAUGAGUAAUUCCAUUUUGGUCUGGUCUAUUGGAACUAGUACAGGAGCUCAG